CGUUGCCCUCCCUAUGUGCUGGCACGAGAGGGCUGCUCUCAGCUGCUGGAGAGAACACGUCCUCACCCGCCCUCUGGGGACAGAAGGGCUUUCCCAACCCUGAUUUGGGGCAGAGCCCUGGUGAGAGGUGUCCCAUGGGCCUAGGACAGCCCCGCCGGGCUUGGACAGACUGAUGGAAGCUGGGCUGAGCUCCAAGGCCAGGCUUUGCCCGCUUGGCUCCGAGAAGCUACGGGAAGUACUGGUCCUGCUGUUCCCAUAGUGGUGAAUACGCUCGAGCUUGGCCACUCCUGGGUGCCCAAAGCUGCUCUCCCACCCGGGACCUGGGGAGAGUGACCGACAGGCUGGUGAGGUGCUUGGCCCAUUUGUUGAUCCCACAAGCCACCUAUCCGACUCCACGCUGGUGCCAAGGAGAGGCAGAAGCCAGACAGACCCCGGCCGGGGAUCACAGUCUAGUGGAGAAAGAAGCUCAGCAAUGAGCCAGACCCAAGGCAGUCAUGGGAGGAGAGGCCCCGAGGGCGCUGGUAACCAGGAGGGAGGUCUGUCCAGGGAGGGCCCUGGAGGGCUUCUCAGAGGAAGUGGCCUUGGCCUUGGGCACCUUAUCCACCUGUUACCUUUGGCUACUAUUCCCCUGCUUGGAGGUUCCCCGACUCUAGUGUGCGUGACCGUCCCUGGGGCAUUCUGGGCACCAGCCCCAGGGAUUCAGAUCCAGGAAGUCUGCGUGGGCCCAGGACUCUGCAGGCUUAACUCGCUUAAAGCAGGGUGACGAUGCUGGCGACAGCUGCAGGGCUGGGUGCAGGACAUAAGCCCCCCGGGCGUGAGGCCCCAGAGAGCAGGCCCGACACCACGAUUCCCAGCACCUCUUCUGCGGACGCUGCUCUUCAGGUGUGGUUGUCCCGGUGGGGAAAUUCAGAGCCUCUCAGCGCUGGGCCACGGGCACCGCGGGUCACUGGCCACAGGGAGAGGAAGGCAAGGAGACAGAGUCAGAGCAGGGGGCUAUGUGGGUUGGGUGGCCAGAUAAAAUAGAGGACAUCCAGUUCAAUCUGAAUUUCAGAUAAACACCAAAUAAUUUUUUUGUAUGUGUCCCAAGUGAUGCUGGAUUCUGUGUUUUUAUUUGCUAUAUCUGGCAACCGUAUGUGCAGGUCCCAGCCAGAGCAUCUAUUGAUCACCUUUGAUAUGCCAAGUACUCUGCUGAGUAGACAGUUUCUGCUCUUCGUUCUAUUAAUAGAUAUUGGUUGGGCACCUGUUACACGCCAGGACAGUUCUAGUGGGAGAUAGGGAUUCCGCAAUGAGCAAAACAGACAUAAACCCUGCCCCCUUAGCACUCGCAUUUGAGGGAGGGGACAGAAAGUACAUAAACAAAUAACAAUAUAAUGUCAGGUGAUAAAAGGGCUAAGUAGAAAAUAAAGCAGGCUAAGGGGGGUGGGGUGGGCUUUGUUGCUAACCUAUGUGGGGUGGAAGGAGGUCCUCUGAGUAGAGACAGGCCGGAGGUGAGCACAUCUGGGAGAGGCACUGCCGCAGAAGGAACAGCAUGUGCAAAGGCCCUGAGGAGGCCGUGCUGGGAGAGUUCGAGGCACAGAGAGCCUGGAGCCGCGCAAACAGGGGUCGGGUGUUAGGGGUGAAGUCCAAGCAGGGGCCGAGCCUGGCAGGCCGUGUUGGCCACGGCAGGGAGUUUGGUCUGAGCAAGAUGAGAGCCGCCAGAGGGUUUCAAGCAAAGGAGCGACAGGACCUGCCUUGCCUGUUCAGCCUGUGCACCCUUUACAGGUGGCCAGAUGAGGGUUCAGCGCUGCCAGGGAGCUGCCUGCCCUCCCUCCUCGCUGAGCUCCAGAAGCCAAUGUUCACUGAGGGCCUGGCAGGGUCUAAGCACUCUGCCCCGAUGGCGCACAAGUGAUGACAUGCUGUGACUGUAGCUACGAGGCGAUGGACAGGGUGGGGUGAGGGAGCAGUUGGGUGUGUCAGGUGGGGUCGGUCGGGGAAGCCCUCCUGAGAAGGUGGCGUCUAGAACAGGGAAAGAGAGGGCUGCGGGGAGCGCCCGGCAUCUGUACCGCAAGUCCCGGGAAGAGGCGGUCCUGACACCCCCACCUGCCCUCCGGUGGCCACCCCGGCCUGAAGGGAGCCUGCUUCCUCCCUCCCUGGUGCCAGCCUGCAUUUUGAACCCCCUGGAAAGCCUCUGCUUUCUGGGCCCCUUCCCGGCUCAGCCGGGCCUUAGCAGAGCCCCUGAGGCCUGAUGAGCACUUGGCUGGAGCCUCCCCGGGCAGGGGGCCGCUGUCCCGGCAGGGUGGGGCGUGGGCUCAGAGUGGCCUCUGGACACACCACGCCCCCCGUCCCGGCCAUGCCGACUCUGCAGCCGGCCUCCAGGAUGGCUUUCCUCUCUCUUAACGGGCAGGGGCGCUGCCAACUGCAAUGGAUGAGUUACAGCCAUGCUGCGGGGAGCCGGGCAUCCACCAGCCACCUGCCAACAGCCCUAACACCAGCUGGGCUGCGGCGCCGAUCAGACCCAGGAGGAGAGUGGGGAACUGUCCGGUUUUUCUUGAAAAAUUCUCCAGCAGGGAGCUGUUUGCUGGGCUGUGUGUGCAUGUGUGGUACGUGUGUGUGUGCACGGUGAUGUGUGUGUGUGCACGAUGAGGUGUGUUGUGUGAUGUGUGUGUGGCGUGUACGUGUGUGGUGUGUGUGUGCGGUGUGUGUGUGUGCACGAUGUGGUGUGUUGUGUGCUGUGUGUGUGGUGUGUACGUGUGUGGCGUGCACCUGCGGGUGGGAGUUUUGCCUGUGUGCCCAUGUAGUCCUGCGGCGCCCGGGGUGGGGAAUGAGGUUCUGUGCUGGUGGAACAAGCCAGGGACUCCCCCUGGGUGCUGCAGGUUCUGUGCCCUUGCUCCCGACCUCUGUCCUUGACACCCUCAUGUUCAUCACGGCCACCCCAGCAGGAGACAGCCAGGUCAUACCUGGUAUCUGCCCUGUCCCCCUGUCCCUGAGGCCGAUCCUGCAGCCACUUCUACUCUCUCGGAUGUCUCCCCACCCUGGGCGGCAGGAGAAAUGGAGGUGGCAGCAUGGAGGCCACUGCCUGGAAGGGCUCCCAGGUCAGGGGUUCGGGGGCUCUUUGGAGCGGACCCCCUGAGUCUCCUCUCCCCUGAAGCCUGAGCGGAUGUGGGCUGGGAACGUUAGCUGAGUUCUGAGAGAUAUAUGACGGGGCUGCUUGGUUGGGCAGAGAAUGCCGUUCUCUGACACAUGGCAGCCCCUCCCGAGUGCUGGCUGGCUCAGGGCUCUGCGAAUCGUCUCUUGUGGUCCCCUGGUCACCCUGGACACAGACGCUGGCGUGUAACCUUCGUCUGCUGACAGGGAAACAGAGGCUCAGGGAAGGUAGGUGGAGGUGGGGUGGCUGAGGGAACUGGCCCUUCCCUCUUGUCACGGCUUCAGAACUGAGAUUCCUGCUCAGCGGACCAUCACCCACUGUGCACCUGGCACCAAGGCCUCGUUACUGUUAGCCCACUUCAUGGAUGAGAAAACUGAGGCUGAGGAAACUAAGGAAUCUCUUCCGGUGACCACGCUAGGAAGCAGAAUGUAGCCCGGGGCUGUCUGACUCUCAGUCUGGCCCCCUUCAAGGUCCUCUGGUCCAGGUGCUCGUGGGAGGAUGGAUUGUGUCGGGAUGGGUGGAGGCUGAUGGGGUGGGAGAGGCCCACAGCUGUGUGGGCUCUGCCAGGUAAGUGCCGGGAGGAGCGGGUGUUCCAGGGCACCCAGGCCCUGUUGGGGUGUGCAGGGGACGGUGGGAUGAGUCAGAGAUGUCACUAGAAAGGAUAAAUUCUUCUGCAUACGGUGCCACCUUGUUUUGCUUCUAAGGAAAAAGAAGUAACCUUCACCCUAGCCAGGUGAGCACGUUUCUUGGGAAUUAGUGACAGAGCUGGCCACAGCCCCGCAGCAGGAGGCCACACCAUGGUUACACACAGGAGUUCAGAAGCACCUGUCAGCACCCCCAUCACCGGACCAGAGCCCACAUUCCCUCUGUAAAGCUGGCCCUACCCUGGUAGAGGAGACUCCCCCAUCAGCCUCUGGGUUCCAGGAGAGGCACAUGGCUCUCAAGGCAGCUGGGCUGGAGCCGGGGCCUGGUGAAGACGCAGAGGUGGCCCUUCCCGCUCCUCAGACAGGUCCUUGCCCCUGUACCCCAUCCUAGGGGAUCUGCUGUCCUCGCCCCUGCAGGGUUUGCCCCAUCACUCCAUGCCGUGGCUGGGACCACAGGGCAGCUCCCAGGUGUGGGGCAAGGUUGCCAUGGCGACCCGCGUCAUGGGCCAGCACUCUGAGCUCCGCUGACAGCUUGCCGGGCGGCGCCUCCGGAGCCCGAUCACAGAGAUGUGCUUUGUGGCAGCUCGACGUUCAGCCCGUUCUCCCCAAACGUGGCUCUCCAAGGGGUGAGCACACGGUGGGUUCCAAGGCGAGGAGCCCUUGGGGACCCGCCAGCCUUGGGCCGUUACCAGGAAGUGAACGGCAGGAAGGUGGUCUGAUCUGCGGUGUCUCCCGGCGUGGGCUCUGCACGCCCGGCGCUCACUCUCCUCCGCGCCCACACCCCUAACCGCCAAGGCAGCAAGCUCCCAGGCUCUGAAGCUAGGCUCCCCUCACGCUGUCGUUCCAAAGGCCCCAAGUGGAAACAUGUUCUUCCUAGAAGAUGUUUUAUGAUCACGUGUAGCAUUUGACAAGGGAUGGACUGAGCCAGGCUGUGGGCUGGGCAGUGACUGAUUCUGUAGCUGGGGUACGUAAAUGUGCUGGAGUCUGCAAUGGACACGUCAUCACAGGCCCAGAUCCGCAAAGCCAAGGGCAGACCUGUUUGACUCCAUCUGCUGGCUGAGCUAGAACUCCCUGAGCCCUGAGCGUUAUGUCACCACCCGCAUCAUCUCCUCCAUCCCUCCCCGCGCUCCCCACCCCAUGGUCCUCGCCAACACUUCUGCCACCUUCCACUUCUUAUUCCUUAUUUGCUGGGUCCUGCCUUGCACCCUCCCAUCAGCAAACACAUCUUAUCAGGUGUGGCCGAAGCAAAAAAAAAAAAAAAAGCACAACAGUGAAAAGAUAUGGCCAGUGACACACAAUACAACUUAGCCUUACCGGAUGCACACCGCAUGGGGACCUCAUGGAGUGACAACAGAGAGGGAAGGACGGUGAAACGAGCCUGGCUACCCAAGUUCUGAAGGAGGCAGUGGGGGAGGGUCACAGAAGGGAGGGCAGAAUUCUGCUGCAGACCCUUUCAGUGGCCACCCUGUUCUCACCCCCUCUGGGUCUUCCCACUGCUUCCCAGAGUCCCUCACGAUGUUUCUGUGCUGAGCCAGGGCCCCCAGACACCCAGCCAAUAAUAGCUUCUUAGAAGCUUGUGUCGGGUGCACGCUGGUGUAAUGGACUCACAGAACGUCACAGCCUGCGGGGGAUAUCCGGAAUAUUCCCCCCAGAGUACAAAGAUGGAUCUUACUUUCCUCUGUGUCUAGGAAGAUGGCGACCCUCUUGCUACCUGGGGCUGAUUCUCUGCAAACCAGGAAGGACUGAUAUGUGGUCAGGGAGGUUUUGUCUGCUCUUCUGGAAACGAGGGAGGCUCCGUCCAACGGGAUGACUACAGUUGCUGCCCCUACGGUUUCGUCAUCACAGUGAGUGAGUUCAUAGUUUGCAGGGAGGGGAAGCAGUUUAGUCUCUGCUGAAAGCGGAAUUGGCCGGGCUGUACUCGGAGCUCUCUUGGCAUCAAAACCAGAACUUACGAAGAACCAAACCAAAACAAAACAGAACUUACAUUCCUGGUGCACGAGCACAGGCGGCUGGGAACAAGUCAUGUUCACACUUGUGAGAAGCGUGUUCCCGCCACCUCCCUCGGCACUUUGAACUCCCCCCUGGCUCCCCUCCAGCGUGCAGGGCUGCCGUUUCCUCUGGCACCCACUCCCACCUCACGCUCUGUCAAAAUGCUUUCAAGAAACGUGAGGACGAAAUGUAACUAACAUGUACCUUCGUGUGAAAAAGGACAGCAGAGGUCUGAGCAGGCCCUGGGAGAGGCAACUGCACAGGAAGAGAGGAAGAGCCUGGACUGGGAGAUUCACACUUCUGUCGAGGCCUCACCCUCCUCCUGGGGCCGCCACCACCAUGCUGGCCUCGGGGAACCACUUUGACUUUUAGCUUCUCUGAGCUGGGAAGUAGGCAUCAGUAGCCUUGGUUUCCUUAUGAGGGAUACCUACCUCUCCAUCCCCGAAACCGCCUUCCAGGAACAGGAGGAGAUCAGGUCACGACCGUUAACAGAAAGGAGUUUUGCAGACUGCAACUCAGGCCACAUUGUUAUGUAUCUGUGUGAGUCUGUUAGAUCAGAUGGUAUUAAAUUUAACUAAAUGGCAUUUAUGUAUUCAUGCAAUAAAUAUUUGUUGAGUGUCUA